rnacentral:tRNA from 1 species
ACCCAGCUGGCUCAAUUGGAAGAGCAUGUGACUCCAGAUCUUGGGGUUGUGAGUUCGAGCCCCCGCUGGGUU